rnacentral:lncRNA from 1 species
AUACAAACUGCACAUGCAAGGAAUUGAAGUGGUCCUCUCCUUAGCCUAUAAAUACAUCCACCAUUCCCCUUACUAAAGAAAAUCUUGAUCCAUCAAAAGAGCUUCAUUCACAAACACAAUUUCCUUGUAGUGACCUCCAUCCAUUCAUCUAGCCAUACUACAUCUCACCAAUCCAUACACUUUCAUCUCUUAGCCGUGCA